rnacentral:rRNA from 1 species
GAUGAACGCUAGCGGCAGGCUUAACACAUGCAAGUCGAGGGGUAGAAGGAGCUUGCUCCUUUGAGACCGGCGCACGGGUGCGUAACGCGUAUGCAAUCUACCUUGUACAGGGGGAUAGCCCAGAGAAAUUUGGAUUAAUACCCUAUAGUGUAACGAAAAGGCAUCUUUUUGUUACUAAAGUUCCAACGGUACAAGAUGAGCAUGCGUCCCAUUAGCUAGUUGGUGUGGUAACGGCACACCAAGGCAACGAUGGGUAGGGGUCCUGAGAGGGCGAUCCCCCACACUGGUACUGAGACACGGACCAGACUCCUACGGGAGGCAGCAGUGAGGAAUAUUGGUCAAUGGGCGCAAGCCUGAAUCAGCCAUGCCGCGUGCAGGAUGACGGUCCUAUGGAUUGUAAACUGCUUUUGUACAGGAAGAAACACUCCCUCGUGAGGGAACUUGACGGUACUGUAAGAAUAAGGAUCGGCUAACUCCGUGCCAGCCGCCGCAGUAAUAC